CCUCCUCACCCUGAUUUUGGGGAGUGUCUGGAGGAUAGCCACCUGAUGAUCUGAAGCAGUGAGGCAUCUCAGAGCUCAGUCAUUUGGCAACUGCCCUCAUGGUUUGGGACAAACUCUUGUGCCACCACAGAGUUCUUCAGAUCUUGUUGAAGACAGAGAUUCUGAUUCGGAUGAAGUCGGUGUUUGGCCUGUGCGUCUGAAGGCUGUGUGCACGCCCGUUGCCCGUUUCCAGGUCCCAGCACUCUGACGCCAUGUAGUUCUACGAAGCAGUUUUGGCGCAGUCAUUUUGAUUAACAUCAACCUUGCUUAUGUUGAGAGUUGUGUGUCUUCUGCCAGCUUCUGUGAAUGCAGACAUACCUCAGAGAUAUUACAGGUUUUGUUCCAGACCACCACAGUAAAGCGAGUCUCGUGAUAAAACGAGUCGUAAUGUUUUGCUGGUGGAGCGCCUUGCCUUCAC